GCUAAACGCGAAGAACCUUACCAGGGCUUGACAUCCUACUAAUGAAGCAGAGAUGCAUUAAGUGCCCUUCGGGGAAAGUAGAGACAGGUGGUGCAUGGUUGUCGUCAGCUCGUGUCGUGAGAUGUUGGGUUAAGUCCCGCAACGAGCGCAACCCCUAUUGUUAGUUGCUACGCAAGAGCACUCUAGCGAGACUGCCGUUGACAAAACGGAGGAAGGUGGGGACGACGUCAAAUCAUCAUGCCCCUUAUGUCCUGGGCCACACACGUAAUACAAUGGCGUUAAACAGAGGGAUGCUAAGCCGUGAGGUGGAGCGAACCCUAAAAGGCGUCUCAGUUCGGAUUGCAGGCUGCAACUCGCCUGCAUGAAGUCGGAAUCGCUAGUAAUCGCGGAUCAGAAUGCCGCAGUGAAUACGUUCCCCGGGUCUUGUACACA
rnacentral:rRNA from 1 species